AGCUUUGCACAGUGGCAGUAUCGUAGCCAAUGAGGUUUAUCCGAGUCACAAUUAUUGCUAUUAUUACAUUUCAGAAAAAAGUUUUCACUGAUCUAUAUCAUUUAUUUAUCUAAGUCAUUUAUUUAUUAUAAAAUG